UUUCCUCAAUAUUAAUCCUAACAUUUACUUAUUGUUCUAUUUUCAUGCCUUCUGAUUUAGAAAUACCCCAAUGUUUAUCGCCAAAGAUGGAAGAGGAAGAUUAAAACAGUAAUUUGCAGAAAAGCCCUGCCUUCCCAGAGAUCUAGAGUGUAAUGCAACCAUAUGUUGCUGAGGAGCUCGAAUCUUGGCUGCCUUCGCCCCUCUGCACGAGCAGAAACCCCGGUUUUCAGGGGCCGUGAUCUCAUCGUGUCGCUCUCACUUUUGAAGGUCUGUUAAAAAGUCUGGGGCCUCUUAUCUUAACGGCUUUGGAAGUGAGUUUGGGGUGAGAAGGGGGGGGAGGCCUGUGGGUGUCUCUUUUGCCUGAGGAGCUGGAGACACUUGUGGAAAAGUCAGGCCCUUUUCGCUCGGGCGGCCGCUCGGGCGUGGGGCUGGCUUGGGUUAGACACAUGCACACAUACACCAUAGAGCUCUGCUUUCCCGUAGCAGCUGCUGCCUCUGCCUCUGCCUCUCCCGCCUCAGCCUCUUUGCCCGGCAUACACACACAUUCAGAUUUGCGCGCUGUUUCAAUCCUUGAUGACGUGUCCCCGGAGACAGCCAAUAGCAAACGGGCUCUGGUCAGGACAAUGGGAGGUAUCGGGCCAAUGAGCGAGCCCCGUGAGUUGGCGGUAGCCAAUAGGAGCCGCGCUGGCUGGAGAGUAAUGUUACAGAGCGGAGAGAGUGAGGAGGCUGCGUCUGGCUCCCGCUCUCACAGCCAUUGCAGUACAUUGAGCUCCAUAGAGACAGCGCCGGGGCAAGUGAGAGCCGGACGGGCACUGGGCGACUCUGUGCCUCGCGGAGG